CAGAGCUGAGUACAGAGGGAUGAUCACUUCCCUGCUCCUGCUGGUCUGAUACAAGCCAGGAUGCCAUGGGCCUUUUUGGCCACUUGGACUCACUGCUGUCUCACAUUCAGCUGAGCACUGACCAACAUCUCCAGAUCCUUUUUCUCUGCACAGCCUUCCAGCCACUCUGACCCAAGCCCGUAGCAUUGUAUGGAGUUGUUGUGAACUGGUUGGAAGGCCUCUAAAACAGAAGAUUAAUGAAGAUUAUAAAGACAGACCCAGGGUUUCUGCUCCUGUUCCCAUCAUAGCACAUUCCUGCUUGUGUUCCUGCCAAGUGCCAGAUUCCUCCCCACAGAAGGUAGCCAUGGGGAUCCAGGUGAAGUCUGGGCUGUACCACCUGACCAAGUGACCUCUGAGAAGUCCAACAGCUGUACUGCAUCCAGAUGUUCUGAUUCUCGUACCAGUUACGAGCCCGAUUUCUUCCUCCUGUUUUGCAAUCAUAUUCAUUGUCUGUUAAUCUGAAUGCAACGUCCUGUGAAGUUGGAACUGUCUGCCAAGUGUGGAAGAGAACACGGAUCUCCUGAGCUUGACAGUGGUGUAAUUAUUGUAGGGGUUGUUGGUAAAGACCUUCAAAGCUAUAAGAGACCAGAGAGAGUUUUGUAAAUCCUAGGACUUAAAAGUGCUGUAUGGAACUUCUGUCUAAGUUGCAAUGAAGAUUUUCAUGUUAUCAGACAAGGAGAUGACAUGUCAGCAGUCUCUGGUUUUCACAUUAUCAAUGUUAACCCCCAGAUGGUAAUACUAGGGCUACCACAAACAUCCUAAUGGUAGUCAUUCAAUGGAAUGGGCAACUUGCUAUUUCAAUAGGGAAAUGAGACCAGGCAGUGUUGGGAAACUUGUCCGAGGUCAUGCAGAGGAGACAACUGGGACAUUGUUCUCCAAUGCUGAAGUUUUGGCCUUUUCUACUUUCUGCCCCAAGCAUGGCUUCUUCUUUUGACCCCAUAGUCCCCUCAGCUGGAGCAGAGAAGGAUUGCUCUAGUGAGGAGAUGAAGAAAGAAAUGUUAUUUCACUGAGCAAUGUCAGGAAAUGAUAGGGGAAGAAGAAACACAGGACAGGCAGAAGGAAUCCAGCUGUCUGCUUCUGGGGAGUAAGCAUCUCUUCAUAGUUUUGAGGCUGCUUUCAGGAUUCACGAUUCAGCUUUCAAGCUGGUUGUUGAUGGUUAGGAUGUUUUCAUUUUGACUUCAGCUGUUGACGAGACGGUAAGAGCCUUGAGAGGACUCCUAUCUCUCCAUCGCGUAUGACUAAUUGUGUUGAGACAGCCAUAGGUACGAUAACAGUUCUAUUUUUCUCUAGAACAACUCCAUUACAGACCUCCUGGUAGCGGAGCCCCAGCAAGUGUUUUGCAGGAGUUUUGCUGAUUGUGCAGCACAGAUAACCUGUAAGUGAGUAAACAUGGAAAGCGUUGAAUAUUCAGCCCAGCGUGAGACACUCAGAAACCAGAAGCAGGCUUGUUUUACUGCUUGUCUCAACUUAAGCUUUUAACUGUGUGUUGUGAGUGCUUUUCAGGAAACUGCCUUGUCUGAGACACGUCACUGGGCAGUGAAGUGCUCUGCUUCAGGGACAGCCAGCAGGAGCACUGUGAAAGGCCGGAAACCAAGUCUAGACAAGGGCAGGAUUUCUGGUGGCUUUGCGUUUCACUACGGUGCUCCUUGUGUUCUCCUUGGACACCACAAGUCAAUCCAUGCAAAAUAGGGACUCGCACUGUGCUUCGUUUCAGAGGGAUCCAGUGAAUUAACAUAUUGUUGCUGCUACUUUGGUAAUUGCAUGCCCAGGGUCUGCUCUGCUCCGACUCAGUCUGCCUGGCUUUCCAGACAGAAACCAUCCUUCUCCUCUAUCAAACAAGGCUGCAAAGUAUUGCCUGGAAACAUUGCUUCAACGAAGGAGGACAGAGUGGGAGGAGGAGGGGAAGACUGUUUCCAAAGGCACAACUGGCUCCAAGACCUCGCUUCUCCAGGAGAAAGAGGUGGUAGGGGUUUUAAUCUUAUUUUUGUACCAAGAUACUAAUUUUAACUUAAGCUGUGGUUUCUCUUGCUGUUUUGUACAGGGUACAGUUGCAGAAAUUUAGGCCAGCACAAGUCACUACGGGGGCUCAAUAUGUAGGAAGCUGCUUUAAAUUAGCUAGCCUGGGUUACACAGGAGUUUCGACAGAAGUUGAAACUGAGUAAUCUGAUACCCUUUUCUGUACUAAAAAUAAAAAUCUCUGAGCAGAUAAGUAUAAAAAUGCUUAUUGGUCUCACUUCCAAGUAUAAAAACCUAUAUGCGGAACCCUUAGAGCCUUCUAAGGCCUUGUGAGAAUAGACCACAUCGCAAAGCAAGUUAGCGAGUGUAUUUUCAAAGUCAGACUAGUGUCAAUGUAGAUGCAGUUUUGCAUUGUUAAAAGGUGUUAUUUGGUCAUGAAUGACUUCUGAAUGGCAUCCCUUCAGCUUUGGUCUCUUAAAGGAAGUGUGGUUACAUGCAGUGUUAGUAGGGCAGCUUUGCCCCCUAACACAGAAGGCAUGAAGAGGGCAGGGAGCAUCAAGACACUGGGAAAAAAGGGAAGCUUGACUUUGUUGCAGACCUCGUGGAUGACCUCUGGCAAGCAAAUGAACCUUUCCUCAUCCAUUCCUUCCUCUCUUGCCUACCCCUCCAUGUGAUGGUUGCUUCAUUGUUGGUAUGGAUUCUUCUAAGAAGUGGCAGUUCAGCAGCUCUGUCUGUAAGGUUCCUUUUCAUCUCCUUGGUUGUGACAUUUCCUGUCCCUUAGCCACGUGCGUUAUUUUGACUAGAAGCAAAGGAUUGCUCCAACACCUUUCAUUACACAAGGGCUGGAGAAUGGGGGAGGGUCAUGCUGGUGCUGGUGGCUCAUUGCACACCAGAGUAUUGCAACUGGUGGACCAGAGGGAAGGGUUUUUGAGACGUCUUGAUUGUGUGUAUUAGAAAUUGCAGCCUCGGGAAUUACUGAGAAUCUUUUUAUAGCUGAUGCUAUAUACUGGGCUUAGGAAAUCCUGUUUAUUCUGUAAAUAUGUGUGUUUGAGGGAGUAGGAGGAGCUGUGACUGCUCUCUAACUGCUGUUUGUGUGCUACAGAUUGGACACCAACAUAGGUUCCUUGGCUACUGCUUCCCAAACUGCUCCUUCCAAAUAGAGAUGGGCAGUUUGCGGGUCAUGGUGGGACUGGAGGCAGAAGUGGGAUUUAUUAUGUCCUGAGAGGAAUGUAAGUUGUGAUGCUGAGGAUGUAUCUUUUAGGGCCUUCAAGAAGGAAACCUAAUCUAUCCUGAAGAUCUUAUAGCUUAUGUCCAGAGAAAGUGUGAGGGAAGAGCAGACAGAAAGUGAUUAUCAUGCCUUUUGAUUAACAUGGCUUGGUUGUCUUUGUGAUGUACCUCCUGGACUUGAGUUAUGGUUGUUUUUCUCAGUGUUUUGCUUGGAUAAUAUCUUAGUGCUUGAGUCCUGAAUGAUCCCCAUCCUUUCUUCCGAAGUCUAUGCACUGGUAGCAUUUGUAAGACGAAUUGUAGGACUGCAGGAUAAAAGUCUGAAAGGGAUCUAGGAGGUUUCUUGCCAUACCUGUGCAGAGCAGGGUCGGAUGUGACAUUAGGCCAAGUUACGUAUGACUUCAGUGUAGUCUUGAAAACCUCCAGGAAUGGGAAGUGCACAGCAAGCUCCACAUAAAAAAAGCUUUUCCCAACUUCCAGUCUGAACCUCUUGUUUCAAGUAUAUUGUCUCUCGUUUUUCUGCUCAACACCACAGUGAAGAGCCCAGCUGUCUUCUCAGUCCCAUCCCAGAAGCUUUGUGAGCUGCUGCUAGCGCCCUCAAAGGUGUUCUUUCUCCUGGAUAAAUGAACUCAAUGCCUUCAGCCUCUUUGGGCAAGUCUGCCUACAUGGGACAGCCUGGUCUUCUCAACUGAACUCUAAUUUGUCCGUCUUUUUUUUUUCUGGCUUCUAAUGACAUGAAGCUUUUCAGAGGCAGGGGUCAAACCCCGGCAGAUAAAAUGAUGAACUGAAUUCUGCAGAAAAAUGCAAAGAUGUGCAUUUUUAGAAUUAUGAUUGUCUCACUUACUCAUCUGUAAAGCAAGCUUUUACUUGCCUCUGCUCUUUCUGUGGAGCUCUGACUGAUGAUGGUUCUGGAGUGCUAAGAUGAGUGUUACAAAUGCAAAGCAUGAUCGAACUUUGCUUACUGUGUUUACUGCUCUGGAGGAAGCACCAUUCCUGGUAGCCAUGUAUACAGGAAUUAUAUGUGUAUAUAUAUGUACAUAUGCCAUAUUGAAACACAAUACACAAAAUUUCAUUUUAUGCUGCCAAUAGUUAGUGUGUGAGAGCUUGAGAGGGCACCAGCAACCUAUAUUCUUUAAGAUCCAAGAGCCUUGGGAAAAGAUCCAUUUUUUUAUAUUGUACUAAUUUCAAAGAUGCUGGGUUUUAGUCCAACAAAGUUUAAAAAAA